rnacentral:rRNA from 1 species
UACGUAGGGGGCAAGCGUUGUCCGGAAUUAUUGGGCGUAAAGCGCGUGUAGGCGGCUCGGUAAGUCUGCUGUGAAAGUCCAGGGCUCAACCCUGGAAAGCCGGUGGAUACUGUCGAGCUCGAGUCCGGAAGAGGCGAGUGGAAUUCCUGGUGUAGCGGUGAAAUGCGCAGAUAUCAGGAGGAACACCAAUGGCGAAGGCAGCUCGCUGGGACGGUACUGACGCUGAGACGCGAAAGCGUGGGGAGCAAACAGG